rnacentral:rRNA from 1 species
GAUGAACGCUGGCGGCGUGCCUAAUACAUGCAAGUCGAGCGAACAGACGAGGAGCUUGCUCCUUUGACGUUAGCGGCGGACGGGUGAGUAACACGUGGAUAACCUACCUAUAAGACUGGGAUAACUUCGGGAAACCGGAGCUAAUACCGGAUAACAUGUUGAACCGCAUGGUUCAACAGUGAAAGACGGUCUUGUUGUCACUUAUAGAUGGAUCCGCGCCGCAUUAGCUAGUUGGUAAGGUAACGGCUUACCAAGGCAACGAUGCGUAGCCGACCUGAGAGGGUGAUCGGCCACACUGGAACUGAGACACGGUCCAGACUCCUACGGGAGGCAGCAGUAGGGAAUCUUCCGCAAUGGGCGAAAGCCUGACGGAGCAACGCCGCGUGAGUGAAGAAGGUCUUCGGAUCGUAAAACUCUGUUAUUAGGGAAGAACAAAUGUGUAAGUAACUAUGCACGUCUUGACGGUACCUAAUCAGAAAGCCACGGCUAACUACGUG